AACAAUCCAAUAAAUUAAAAAUUAGUCACGCGAAACAAGAAUGAACACAUGUCACCUACCUUGGCCAAUGUUAAAUUAUAACUAACUAUAAGAUAAAUGAAGACAUUUUCUAAAGAACUCGACUGAAUCCUCCAGUCACACAAGCAAUGGAUUUUCGAUAACCGGCUGAACAUUAGGUAUGUACACAUGAUCGUUCCCGAAAGUUAAUUCUAUUCGAUAAAAGUUAUCAAACGUUUGAUUGCACAUUAUCUUUUCCCACUGCUUUAGCCUGUGUACUUGAAAACUGACUUUCUCUUUGUUGGUUAACGAGUUUUGCAGUUAAAUAUAGAAAUCAAGAGCUUCCACAGUGGUGGUCCGGAUUUAAAGAAAUUAUUCCGUAUGGGUUGUUUUAUCGUUCAGUUGUACACAACGUUGUUAACAAAACACAAGAUAAUGAACUUGACCCGCAACGUUCACCUCUACACAUUUAGACGAACAUUACAACUACAAACACUCCGAACAGUGGGAACCAUAUGUUUGCGCAAGUUAUUUUUUUCUAUUUUAAUGAAGUGGUAUAAUAGCAGGACGGUGUAAUUUAAACACAUGAUUAAUUUGCGUAUUGUCUCUUAGUCCGUGCCAAUAAGCAUGUCUUUCCAGUUGCAAAAACGAAUUUAAAACAUUUAUUCCGAGUUUGAUGACUAGUGAAGCCUUCUACUUUAAAACAUGAUAAUAAUAAGUCUUGCAAUGAGUAAAUUUUAUUCAUUUUUGCAAAUAAGUUGGGGCUCAACCGGCAUCAAUAUACAAACGCAAUGUUAAACACAAACUAUAAUUGUAAUCAAAAAAUUGUAUAUUGGAAACUUACGCACCUUACUUUCCUGUAUACAACCUGAUUAUUUUACAGUUUCGAGUUAAGCUUCAUGCGACUAACAACUUUUCCGAACUCGACUGAAGAGUCUGUUAGAUACCAAGAAGACGAAAUCCCAAACACUUUUCCCUCUUUCUUCCAUUUUAAUAUUCAUGAAGUAAAGCGGUUGGGCAGGUUUGCUAUCACCUAUGCCUAUCACGAAAGCAUUCAUAUUUCCUUAACAUGGACUUUUUAGGUAUACUUUAGCCAAAGAGUAGGUAAUAAUAUAAAUAAUAGUAAUAUUUGGAUAUAAAUAAUAAUUAUAUUUAACUACUCUUUGCAUUGAAUCUUCACGCAUUCGUUUUCAUUUUUUGAUGAUUCAUUUUUUCAAGCUAAACUUUUCGUUGUUAGUUGUCAAAUAUUAUGGUAAACACACAAAAAGAAUAAAACCUUACAAAUAUUACUUCGGCUUGCUUCAGGAAAUUCGAGGAUAUGGAACCUAUGUUAAUAAAUACAUUCAAAGUGUUUUGCAAGAUUUCAAUACCACGUUUUAUAGAACCCAAAAAAAUGGCAAAAAGAUUGUUUUAUUAAUUGAACUAUUGAAUCAAAGACAUUUACGAAGGCUACUUUGUGAGCCAAUUUUCCUUAUUACUAUUUAUUAUGAAUAUGUAGCUAAUUUAAGUCCAAGAGUUACUAAAAAACACUAACCUGGUGAUUAAAUGCACACCGACACUUACUUAUCUUACGCACGGUUUCUGCUAAAUAAAAGUGAUUUCAGAUUUUCCUUCUAAAACCCCUCCAAACUUUGAAAUGGUUGGAAGCUGAAACCAGGUAGAUUUCAGGCCCUUCGCUUAUUGGUAAAUAUUUAUGGUCCCCAUAUGGAGCAUUCCUGUCAUUUAUCGUUAAGCAGGAAAGUUGUUAAACCUCCCAGCCUAGAGGAAAUUUACCAUCACCGGCUAAGUGAUGUUUUUUCUUUUCAAAUGUAUCCUUUCUGACAUGAUCAUAAAAAGCAAUUCUGGAAAGCGGCUUUGUUUUAUCUUGUCCAUAGGAUUUAUGGGUCUUUAACUUUGCACUUAUCGGCUAUUUAAAGCGACACAAGACUAAAAUUAAAAAUCAUAAACAAAUUCGAACUGCUUUAUUAUUCAAAAUUAUCUUGUACAUGUUUCAAUAUAAUAGUGUAAAAAUGAAUCACACAUCUUGAAUUUUUUCAUAAAUUGCCCCCAAACUGGUAGCAAUAUAGUUCGGUUUU